UUUAGCUGCUGCUACUACAAUCCAAUAUAAUUUUUAUUUUAUGAGCUGCUGUUUCUACAAAUACUUAAUAUGAUAAGUCCAUCAUAUAUAUAAUCAGUUUCAUAUUCAUAUUUAUUGGGUUUCGAAGAUUUAAUUCCAGGAUGAAAAUAUAAAUAUGUUUUCUACUAUUCCUCUUGUGUUUUCAACGCAUUUUCGGCGCAUGCGCUGUAUCAUUCAGUACACCGCGGGCGCGGGAAGACGAUGAACUUCACUUCUCUCACAUCAUGUGCGACUGCGACGUUGUUGCAACGACAUUAGUUGGUGUAUGCUUAUUUUGAGGACCUACACCCAAGGAGUGGAAGUAUUUUGGCAGAGUUUGGCUGUAUAUCUGGCAAAAAUCUGCAAACCGAAUUCUUUCAAGAACUGGACAGAUUCACUCCACACUUCAUUGAUAUUUUCAAGGCCAAAGGGGGAGACAUUAGUUGUAAACCUAAGAGGAUAUUGCAACAGAUUGAAAAUGAAAAAUCCAAUAUCAAUGGAAGAAGAACAGCUGUUCUACAUGGCCUUCCACUUCUUGGAGAGGACCCCACAGAUUUUUACAAGACAUGUUCUGGAAGACGAUGAAGAGAAAUCAGGCAUUUCAAUCGGCAUACUGACAGUUAUUCCUGAGGACUCUCAAGCUGUACCAUACUCACUGCAUCUUGACGCCACAUCCACUGCAAUCAUUUUGGAAGGUACCAUUGUAGUGGAUAACGUGGACAAUCUUCCCUAAGCCAUGUGUCUGCUCUUUGGGCUCAUUUAUGCCCUGUAUUUAGAGGAUCUUCCAGCACUGAAGAACACCUUUGAUUUUGUUCAAAGGGCGAUUUUGUCAAUUGGGCACAAGUCUCUCAAACCUAAAAUACAAUCCCUGAAAUUUCUGUCUGAUGCAGUAGCAUUAUUGGGGUAUGAUGGAGCAUUUUUCAGUGUAAUUGUUCAUGAUUGACCAUUAUUGAGUUAAAAAAUGGCAUAUCACCACUGAAAUAUAUAUUUUGUUUCCUGUUGAAAAACUGAAAGUUUGCUUAAUGUUUUUGGGGUUAGUUUGCCCAAAAAUUUAAUUAUCCCAUAAUUUGCUCACCAUCAAGCCAAGAGCAAACACAAUCAGAGUAU